rnacentral:tRNA from 1 species
UCAUCGACGGUGGGGUGGACUAACUUCAAAUCCGCAUGAGGCGGUC